rnacentral:rRNA from 1 species
GAUGAACGCUGGCGGCGUGCCUAAUACAUGCAAGUCGAGCGAACGGACGAGAAGCUUGCUUCUCUGAUGUUAGCGGCGGACGGGUGAGUAACACGUGGAUAACCUACCUAUAAGACUGGGAUAACUUCGGGAAACCGGAGCUAAUACCGGAUGAUAUUUUGAACCGCAUGGUUCAAAAGUGAAAGACGGUCUUGCUGUCACUUAUAGAUGGAUCCGCGCUGCAUUAGCUAGUUGGUAAGGUAACGGCUUACCAAGGCAACGAUGCAUAGCCGACCUGAGAGGGUGAUAGGCCACACUGGAACUGAGACACGGUCCAGACUCCUACGGGAGGCAGCAGUAGGGAAUCUUCCGCAAUGGGCGAAAGCCUGACGGAGCAACGCCGCGUGAGUGAUGAAGGUCUUCGGAUCGUAAAACUCUGUUAUUAGGGAAGAACAUAUGUGUAAAUAACUGUGCACAUCUUGACGGUACCUAAUCAGAAAGCCACGGCUAACUACGUG